AAGUUUAAAAAAAAAAAAAAAAGGACACAGAACACGUCCUGUGUAUACCCUCCACUUCUAAUUGCGCAUUUCCUGCAAACUAGAAGUUUUGUGUAGAGGCUUGAAUAGGUUCAGGUAAAACUUUUCAACUUGGCAUCUUUAAUAAUAUUAGCAGGUGAGAGUACUGAGCGUUUUCUAUGGGCCAAUGGUCUCACACCGAUAUUCUCACGGAAUCUCAUAAUGACUCUGGGUAGAGGAUGCAGUGGUUGCUUCUACCUCCCUAGAAUCCACAGCUGUCUUUCCUGGUAAUGACAUUUUGAUUUUCCUCACAGAAAUCACUCAUCUUUUGUCGAUCCACCUGCUCAGAUGAGGCUGACCUCAACUUCCAAUCCCAGAGGUACAUGUGACUGAGGCAUUACAACUAGAGACGCCUUGAUUGGCCAGGGAGAGGCACGUGAUCCAUGUUGGGCCAAUAAGAGCCAGCCUCUGAGCUACCGUAGAUCAUUGAAUAGAAGGCAUCAUCGGGAGAUUGGUUUGUCAAAUGGAUACAGGCCUGAGAGAAAACAUCAACUAAAAAGACAUCAGUUUUGUCUGCCUCACGUCACUUUCUGGAAAGGCUGUAAUGUGAUCUUUUUGAUGGCUGACUCUAAAUCCUAUGUAAUGUGUAGGAAACAUUUGAUGGUACUUGGGUAUAUUACGGUCAAGGAAAGUCACCCAAAAGGCAUUUUCUCUGUUG
rnacentral:lncRNA from 1 species